UACGAAGGUGGCAAGCGUUGUUCGGAUUUACUGGGCGUACAGGGAGCGUAGGCGGUUGGAUAAGCCCUCCGUGAAAUCUCCAGGCUUAACCUGGAAAGUGCAGAGGGGACUGUUCAGCUUGAGUACUGAAGAGGAUCGCGGAAUUCCCGGUGUAGAGGUGAAAUUCGUAGAUAUCGGGAGGAACACCAGUGGCGAAGGCGGCGAUCUGGGCAGAUACUGACACUGAGGUGCGAAAGCGUGGGGAGCAAACAGGG
rnacentral:rRNA from 1 species